rnacentral:tRNA from 1 species
GGAAUAAUACUUUAAAAAAAAGGUUUGAUUUGCAUUUAAAAAAUAGGAUAUAUAUCCUUUGUUCCA